GUUGACCAGGCUGAGGGCUGACACAGGGCACCUCGGAAGUGAGAAGGUGGGCUUCCCAGUACCAGAGAGGAAUGGACGUGGCAUGCAGAAGCGGGAGGGAAUAAAAGCCACCUGGGUAGGGAAGUCCUCUGACCAACAGCCCAUCCUUUUGCAGCGCCCUGUUCCGGGGUCAUGUGGCCACCACUGGUGCUGCUGUUUUUGCUGCUUCCUGCUGCCCAUGGCGCCCCCCACCCGGCUGCGGACCUCCAGGAAAACUUUCCAAGUGUACUCGAAGAAAUCCAAACUGAAGGAGACAGAGGCAUGUGGAGGGAAGACAACCCGUUCGCUGGCUCCCGCUGUCCUCCUGGCUCAUGAGGUGGCUUCUGUGUGGUCCAAAAGCUGGGGGCGAGGACCUGUAACCUCAUGAGGGCCUGCCAGGCACAGAUUUGGAGCUCCACACUCCUCCCAAAACCUUCUGGUCUCCUCCGCGGCCCUUCAGCUGCUGAAGGGGCUGGGGGUGGACACCAUUAUCCUAGCAGGGGACAUAUGUGGAACUCACCAGACCCACCUGCAGCACCAUUUCAAAAUAAAAGUCAAAUUUCAAGCUUA
ensembl:lincRNA uncharacterized LOC110293876